UACAGAGGGGGCUAGCGUUAUUCGGAAUUAUUGGGCGUAAAGGGCGCGUAGGCGGCCAUGCGUGUCUUCCGUGAAAUCCCUCGGCUUAACUGAGGACGUGCGGAAGAAACUGCAAGGCUCGAGUCUGGGAGAGGGGGGUGGAAUUCCCAGUGUAGCGGUGAAAUGCGUAGAUAUUGGGAGGAACACCGGUGGCGAAGGCGACCCCCUGGACCGGUACUGACGCUGAGGCGCGAAAGCGUGGGUAGCAAACGGG
rnacentral:rRNA from 1 species